rnacentral:rRNA from 1 species
CUACGGGUCGCACCAGUAAGGAAUAUUGCACAAUGGGGGAAACCCUGAUGCAGCAACGCCGCGUGGACGAAGAAGGCCUUCGGGUCGUAAAGUCCUUUUCUGAGGGAAGAGGAAGGACGGUACCUCAGGAAUAAGUCUCGGCUAACUACGUGCCAGCAGCCGCGGUAAAACGUAGGAGGCGAGCGUUAUCCGGAUUCACUGGGCGUAAAGGGCAAGUAGGCGGUUGUUUAAGUUAGGUGUGACAUCUCUCGGCUUAACUGGGAGGGAGCGCUUAAAACUAGGCAACUAGAGGGCGGAAGAAGGGGGUAGAACUCCAAAUGUAGCGGUGGAAUGCUCAGAUAUUUGGAAGAAUACCAGUGGCGAAGGCGACCCCCCGGUCCGUGCCUGACGCUGAGAGGCGAAAGCUAGGGUAGCGAACGGGAUUAGAUACCCUCGUAGUC